CGCGUGUUUGUAGCAGUUUGUUCUGUGCAUUGCGUGGUUGUGAGCGGUCGUGGCGGUGCCCUGUGCUUUGGUGGGACGUCAGAGUCAGUUCGUAUGCUGCGGGAAAUGGUCGUGCAGGAGGUAGGUCGGGGGCUUGCUCUCGGCUGUUAUAUCUGUGCGUGCCAGUAGUCGUGGUUGGGACUGAGGUGCCUACAACGUGCUUUUGAGUCUUUGGGUCGCUCUGUGCGCGCGUGUGCGGGAUAGCUUGCUAUGCCGUGUGCGUUUGUGUGUGGAUGGCGUGCUCUCUGUAACUUGUUGCCGUUCGGGACUUUGACGAAAUGGCGCGAUCCGACCCGUCUUGAAACACGGACCAAGGAGUCUAACAUGUGUGCAAGUGUUGGGGUGUGGAAACCCAAGCGCGAAAUGAAAGUAAAGGGCAGCGUUGGUUGUCUGAGGUAGGAAACCUUUGUCUUCGGGCGUGGGUGGCACUAUCGACCGAUCAUGAACCUUCGUGGUGAAAGAUUUGAGUAUGAGCACAUAUGUUGGUACCCGAAAGAUGGUGAACUAUGCCUGAGUAGGGUGAAGCCAGGGGAAACUCUGGUGGAAGCUCGUAGCGAUUCUGACGUGCAAAUCGAUCGUCAAACUUGGGUAUAGGGGCGAAAGACUAAUCGAACCAUCUAGUAGCUGGUUCCCUCCGAAAUUUCCCUCAGGAUAGCAGCAACUUAUUUACGAUAGUUUUAUGAGGUAAAGCGAAUGAUUAGAGGACUCGGGGAAGAAACUUCCUUGACCUAUUCUCAAACUUUAAAUCUGUAAGACCUGCAGGUUUCUUAAUUGAACUUGCGGA
rnacentral:rRNA from 1 species